AUUAAAAUUAAUAAAUAAAGAAAACAUUUGUCUUCUUUCUACCCUAAUCUCUCGACUUCAAUUGUUUUUUACAGCCGACGACACAAACAAAGAAAAAACAAGUCAAGACUUCUCACAUUGAACUCCACUUCUCCGUCGCAUAUCUCGCCACCGCCGAUUAGAGGAGAGUAGCCAUAAACGCCAGUGCUCCUUCUCUGGAGAAUCUGCCGUCAAUUUCAGCGUUCGGCGACGCUAGAGUCUCCGGCGGUUUUCAUUCUCCGGAGGUUCUUUAAAUUUCCGGCGUUCGGCCCUUCCACGUCGACCCGUCAUCUGCUUUGCGAGUGCUUCUUCCUCUAAUCCUCUCCUCUUGUCACUGUUUCCUUCCUUCCUCCAUUAACGACAUUAUCCUUCUCAAUUGACAAUCCAGCAGCUACAGACGUCGUUGAUUCAUCAAUUGGUUUUAUUUCUCGUCUUCGUCUUUCUUCACACAGUCUCAAUUUAGACAAUUGAUCUCAUUCGUCAAUAUAAUUUGUGGCCAAAUUCAUAGAAUUCUAAGAUUCUUCAUUAUUCAGGAAUGACGUCUUCGAGUAAUGUCUUCAAAUAUCCUCCUCGUCUAUAUGCAGAAGGAAAAUCACCUUUGCAACAUAGAAGCAUGAACCACAAUUGUUAUCUGUCCAAGAAUGGUCUCAUCAGAGAAGGAUUAGGUCUUGAUGUGUGGGAUGAAUUGGAGAAACCAUCACUAGGUGUGUUUAUUAAGCUAGCAGAACUAGAGUACACAUGGGCUGCCAAGAAAGUACAUCUUUGCAGGGUCGUCUCUGUUUCAGUAUCACGAUUACGAUUUUGUUUUUCGUGUAGGUAUAUGACAUUGUGAUUCUGUAUUGAUUUUUAUCCCGUUCAUGAUACUAAUCUCAUACGUACGGAACCAAAA